rnacentral:tRNA from 1 species
UCCCUGAUAUCUUAGACGGUAAAGAAUCCGCCUGCAAUGCAGGAGACCUAGGUUCGAUCCCUGGGUUGGGAA